UUCAGAGAACCAAAAUGAUAGACCCCCAAUCCAUGCAACUUACCUAAGGCGCAAGAAUUAAGGAAAAGCAGACGGCAUAAUUCCAGCACCAAUUACAUAAUCCCAUAAUCAGUUACUUAAUUUCAACAGUACCAAUUAUCCAAUUACAACAAUAAUUGGGGAGGAAAAUCACAUAUAAAUAAGGGGAAUCAGCACGUUACCAUCAUCCAGAAAAGUGGGAGAUUUCUUGGAAGGUGUGGACCUCUCGAAUGUCCAUUGAUCUUAUUAAUUUUCCUUUUUAUUAGUGAAUAAAGAAUCUGCUUAUCUUAUAGCAGAUUCAGUCUUUUGUAAUCUCCGUUUAUCAGUGGAAAUUCUCAUAAUAAAAUUCUUGGAACUAUCAUUGGUAUCAGAGCCGUUACGAUCGGGAUGGUGAAUUUAUCAGAUCGUGUGGGAAAGUUGGAAGGGGUUCACCAAAAAUUGCAAAGCCAGAUGGAGGAGAUGUAGACUAGAUCAAUAGGAUGCAGGUAGAAACGCAAAGGGUGCAUAAUGUUGAAAAAAAUAUGGAAUUAAUUAUGGAGCAGUUCACCUUCAUGAGAUCGAAAUGGGAAGAAUCGGAAAGAGAGAAAAAAUGUAUGGGGCCAGGAGAUAAGGGUUCGGAGUAUGCUCUGCCGCUCGAAAUUUGUCUGGAGUCGAGGCGAGUAGUCGGGUCAACACUGGAGGCUCAGGUGAACACUGGAAACCCAAAAUCAAAGCGAGGCGACUGGAGAUGCCGAUUUUCAUGGGACAAAAUCCAAAUGACUGGAUCUUCAAGGCCGAGCGGUACUUCUUGGUGAGUCAAUUAACACAUGCAGAGAAAUUAGAGUCAGCCGGACUAUGCUUCAAAGGAGAUGCACUCGCUUGGUUCCAAUGGGAGUAGAGAAGGAGGAGCAUAAAAAAUUGGGAAUCGCUUAAGAUGUUGCUGCGGGCUCGAUUUCAGUCUUCACUGGAAGGCUCCAUGGAAGAACGCUUCCUGGCGCUCCGACAAGAGAAGUCGAUGAGAGAGUAUCGCGUCACCUUUAAGGCGUUAGCAGCCCUGAUCGAAGAAGUUUCAGAAGCAAUAUUGG
rnacentral:lncRNA from 1 species